UACGUAGGGUCCGAGCGUUGUCCGGAAUUACUGGGCGUAAAGGGUGCGCAGGCGCCUGGCGCGUCGCGAGUGAAAUCUCCUGGCUCAACUGGGAGGGUGGUCGCGGGACGGCUGGGCUUGAGGCUCGGUGAGGGGCGUGGAAUUCCGGGUGGAGCGGUGAAAUGCGUAGAGAUCCGGAGGAACGACCGACGGCGUAGGCAGCGCCCUAGACGAGACCUGACGCUCAGGCACGAAAGCGCGGGGAGCGAACAGG
rnacentral:rRNA from 1 species